UACGUAGGGGGCAAGCGUUGUCCGGAAUUAUUGGGCGUAAAGCGCGCGUAGGCGGCUAUCUAAGUCGGAUGUGAAAGCCCCUGGCUUAACUGGGGAAGUGCACCCGAAACUGGGUAGCUAGAGUGCGAAAGAGGGUCGCGGAAUUCCCGGUGUAGAGGUGAAAUUCGUAGAUAUCGGGAGGAACACCGGUGGCGAAGGCGGCGACCUGGGUCGACACUGACGCUGAGGCGCGAAAGCGUGGGGAGCAAACAGG
rnacentral:rRNA from 1 species